GCACAGGAGAGGGCGGCCCCCACUUCAUCUGCGGGACACAUGCACGCUUCAUUAUCAGCGGUUUCCUGCCCGAGGCUCUUGCAGUACGGCGGAGUGGGUCUCUAGCCAGCCUCCUGGGGUUCACAUGGAUUCGACUGAGCUCAGUUCAUCGCACCACUCCCUCCAAGACAGCUAGCGUCUGUAUCCUAAUAUGAACCCAGGAGCUCUGAGAAUUCCCUUACCGUUUUCCUAACAGAAAAUUGGAAGUGGAGGAGAUUCUGGGACUUUCUGGAGACUUUUCCCAUACAGUUGUGAACAGAGGAGGAAGGUCUUCAAGGAAAAUCAAAAAUCAUGGCCCCCUUUAUGGAGCACACACCGCGUGUCAAGCUCCGGUGUCAGAAUUUACCUCCUUUAGUGCCCAGGACAACUCUGAGUUCAGUGAUCUUGGCUCCAUUUUGCAAACAAAUAAACUGAGAAUCAGUGUGUUGAAGUUAGGAAUUAGGAAGAGUGCUACAGAGAAGGGAAGUUUGAACUCUUAGGAAGAGGAAGAGUCACCUGAAAUGUUAGUCUGCCUGUCUGCCUAUCCUACUUUAAAAGAGUCCAGAGGGUUGCUGUGCAGAUAGGGAUCUUCCAGAAAAUUCAGUGUUACCCCAGUUCCCAGCACAGGGUCUGACCCACAGUAGACACUCAGUGGCCACCUGCUAAGUGAGCUAGUGAGUGGGAAAGUAGGGCAGCAUUAUGCUAGGAGUUGCGCUGCCCCAAACUCUGGGGCUUGAGUUCCAGCUUCCCCACGUCUAGCAGUGUAGCUUUAAACUCUGC
rnacentral:lncRNA from 1 species